rnacentral:rRNA from 1 species
CCUACGGGAGGCUGCAGUGAGGAAUAUUGGUCAAUGGACGAGAGUCUGAACCAGCCAAGUAGCGUGAAGGAUGACUGCCCUAUGGGUUGUAAACUUCUUUUAUAUGGGAAUAAAACGUUCCACGUGUGGGAUUUUGUAUGUACUAUAUGAAUAAGGAUCGGCUAACUCCGUGCCAGCAGCCGCGGUAAUACGGAGGAUCCGAGCGUUAUCCGGAUUUAUUGGGUUUAAAGGGAGCGUAGGUGGAUUGUUAAGUCAGUUGUGAAAGUUUGCGGCUCAACCGUAAAAUUGCAGUUGAUACUGGCAGUCUUGAGUACAGUAGAGGUGGGCGGAAUUCGUGGUGUAGCGGUGAAAUGCUUAGAUAUCACGAAGAACUCCGAUUGCGAAGGCAGUUCACUGGACUGCAACUGACACUGAGGCUCGAAAGUGUGGGUAUCAAACAGGAUUAGAUACCCCAGUAGUC